GGAUUAGAUACCCUGGUAGUCCACGCUGUAAACGAUGCAUGCUAGUUGUUGUCCCUUUGGGGGCAGUGACGCAGUUAACGCCCUAAGCAUGCCACCUGGGGAGUACGUUCGCAAGAAUGAAACUCAAAGGAAUUGACGGGGGCCCGCACAAGCGGUGGAGCAUGUGGCUUAAUUCGAUGCAACGCGAAGAACCUUACCUACUCUUGACAUCCAGAGAACUUAGCAGAGAUGCUUUGGUGCCUUCGGGAACUCUGAGACAGGUGCUGCAUGGCUGUCGUCAGCUCGUGCUG
rnacentral:rRNA from 1 species